rnacentral:rRNA from 1 species
AUGUAUGUUGGUUUCAAUCCCACCUCAGAGAUCAGGAAGUCUGACUUCCUCUGCAGCAAACCAUCUGAAAAUGUUCUUCAAGUUGUCCACUCUGGUGGCGAUACUCUCCUCACGGAGAGAUGCGACAGCGGUCAGCGCGCGCGAGAACAUCCUAGAGCCACGGUGUACGCCAAGACCCUCGGCGCAUGCCACCAUCGCCUAGAGGCGGUCUAUGUUGAGGGUGAGCAUCCAGGGCCGAGCGACGCACAGCUUGGCAAUAUCACAAGCACCUAG